CCUACGGGACGCACCAGUGGGGAAUAUUGCACAAUGGGCGCAAGCCUGAUGCAGCCAUGCCGCGUGUAUGAAGAAGGCCUUCGGGUUGUAAAGUACUUUCAGCGGGGAGGAAGGUGUUGUGGUUAAUAACCACAGCAAUUGACGUUACCCGCAGAAGAAGCACCGGCUAACUCCGUGCCAGCAGCCGCAGUAAUACGGAGGGUGCAAGCGUUAAUCGGAAUUACUGGGCGUAAAGCGCACGCAGGCGGUCUGCCAAGUCAGAUGUGAAAUCCCCGGGCUCAACCUGGGAACUGCAUCUGAUACUGGCAAGCUUGAGUCUCGUAGAGGGGGGUAGAAUUCCAGGUGUAGCGGUGAAAUGCGUAGAGAUCUGGAGGAAUACCGGUGGCGAAGGCGGCCCCCUGGACAAAGACUGACGCUCAGGUGCGAAAGCGUGGGGAGCAAACAGGAUUAGAUACCCUUGUAGU
rnacentral:rRNA from 1 species